UGAGGAAUCUUGCGCAAUGGGCGAAAGCCUGACGCAGCAACGCCGCGUGAUCGAUGAAGCUCUUCGGAGUGUAAAGAUCUGUCGUGAGGGAAGAAUAAUUUGAAAGCAAAUAGUUUUCAAGUCUGACGGUACCUUACAAGAAAGCACCGGCUAACUUCGUGCCAGCAGCCGCGGUAAUACGAGGGGUGCUAGCGUUGUCCGGAAUCAUUGGGCGUAAAGGGUCCGUAGGUGUCUUUGCAAGUCGUUUGUUACAUCCACCGGCUUAACCGGUGGCCUGCAAUCGAAACUGCAAGGAUAGAGUUCGAGAGAGGAAAGUGGAAUUCCUGGUGUAGCGGUGACAUGCGUAGAUAUCAGGAGGAACACCAAUGGCGAAGGCAGCUUUCUGGCUCGAUACUGACACUGAGGGACGAAAGCGUGGGUAGCAAACAGG
rnacentral:rRNA from 1 species